AUUGAACGCUGGCGGCAUGCCUUACACAUGCAAGUCGAACGGCAGCACGGGAGCAAUCCUGGUGGCGAGUGGCGAACGGGUGAGUAAUAUAUCGGAACGUGCCCAGUCGUGGGGGAUAACGCAGCGAAAGCUGUGCUAAUACCGCAUACGAUCUAAGGAUGAAAGCGGGGGAUCGCAAGACCUCGCGCGCUUGGAGCGGCCGAUAUCAGAUUAGCUAGUUGGUGGGGUAAAGGCCUACCAAGGCGACGAGCUGUAGCUGGUCUGAGAGGACGACCAGCCACACUGGAACUGAGACACGGUCCAGACUCCUACGGGAGGCAGCAGUGGGGAAUUUUGGACAAUGGGCGCAAGCCUGAUCCAGCAAUGCCGCGUGCAGGAUGAAGGCCUUCGGGUUGUAAACUGCUUUUGUACGGAGCGAAACGGCCCUUUCUAAUACAGGGGGCUAAUGACGGUACCGUAAGAAUAAGCACCGGCUAACUACGUGCCAGCCGCCGCCGUAA
rnacentral:rRNA from 1 species